CCCAGCGUUUAAACGCUGGGCUAUUCUCGGUCGUCCUUCGGACU
rfam:Chthoniobacter flavus Ellin428 ctg55, whole genome shotgun sequence.